rnacentral:rRNA from 1 species
UACGAAGGGAGCUAGCGUUACUCGGAAUCAUUGGGCGUAAAGCGUGCGUAGGCGGCUUUAUAAGUCGGAAGUGAAAGCCUGGGGCUCAACCUCAGAAUUGCUUUCGAUACUGUAGAGCUAGAAUACCAGAGGGGAUGGCGGAAUUCCUAGUGUAGAGGUGAAAUUCGUAGAUAUUAGGAGGAACACCGGUGGCGAAGGCGGCCAUCUGGCUGGUUAUUGACGCUGUUGCACGAAAGCGUGGGGAGCAAACAGG